GACGAACGCUGGCGGCGUGCCUAAUACAUGCAAGUAGAACGCUGAAGGAGGAGCUUGCUUCUCUGGAUGAGUUGCGAACGGGUGAGUAACGCGUAGGUAACCUGCCUGGUAGCGGGGGAUAACUAUUGGAAACGAUAGCUAAUACCGCAUAAGAGUAGAUGUUGCAUGACAUUUGCUUAAAAGGUGCAAUUGCAUCACUACCAGAUGGACCUGCGUUGUAUUAGCUAGUUGGUGGGGUAACGGCUCACCAAGGCGACGAUACAUAGCCGACCUGAGAGGGUGAUCGGCCACACUGGGACUGAGACACGGCCCAGACUCCUACGGGAGGCAGCAGUAGGGAAUCUUCGGCAAUGGACGGAAGUCUGACCGAGCAACGCCGCGUGAGUGAAGAAGGUUUUCGGAUCGUAAAGCUCUGUUGUAAGAGAAGAACGAGUGUGAGAGUGGAAAGUUUCACACUGUGACGGAUUCUACCA
rnacentral:rRNA from 1 species